UCUCACAUCUCCAUAUUCACAG
rnacentral:miRNA from 1 species